rnacentral:misc_RNA from 1 species
AAUCGUUGGCCGGACCUUUUUGUUGAAAAAGGUGAAAGAGUGCGGCGAGCGUGGUUUACAUGCAGAUGUUUACACGCGCUCGCAAACACAUUCAACACACUCUUUCGUAAAACGUUACAAUCCUAAGAUCCCAUCUAGUCUCGUCUCGCGAGAUUUUUACUUUCUUUCUAUUCCAGCCUUUACUCGGACGCAAUUUUUUUUUGUUUGCAUCGUUUGAAUUGUUUUUACGUUAGUCACACAGGAAACAUCUACAUUCGUCUUCCAAAAGACAGCUAACAAAGCACCAUGACAUCUCUACUGGAAAUGCUCGACAUCAACACAUUCCUUGCUUUAGGCUUUGCCGUGUUGUCGUUGUUGUGGUGGUUUUCCGUCAGACGACCUGCAGGUGCACCUCCAGGACCUUGGCUGGCUGUACCACUGCUGGGUCACCUGCUGCUGCUGAUGAAGAAAGAUCCUCGGCAGCAGUUCGCAGCAUGGCGACGACAGUACGGUGACGUGUUCAGUCUGUACCUGGGCAGUCAGCUGGUGGUGGUGCUCAACGGCUACAAGGUCAUCAAGGACACGUUGGUAAAAAAAGCCGACGUCUUCUCCCACAGGCCUGAUAGUCUUCUCCUGGAUAUUAUAACCGACAGCAAAGGCGUUUUUGACACGUCUGGUCCUGUGUGGAAAGCCCAAAGAAAGGUUACCAUAGAGAUUCUACGUGAGCUAGGGAUGGGCAAAAACGUCCUGGCGGUAAAGAUUGAGGAGGAGGUCAAAGAGUACAUCAGGGUCAUAUCCGAGAGCCAAGGACAGCCGCUGGAUCUGGCCCACUUGACCCAAGCUAGCGUGUCCAACAACAUGUGUUCUAUCGUCUUAGGCAAACGCUUUGAGUAUGACGACGAUGUCUUUGGAAACAACCUUAGGUUGAUAGAUGCCAUUGUUCACGACGCUGGGGCGGGUAGUGCUGUCUCUUACCUGCCUUUUCUGCGAUACGUGCCUGGAGAUUACUUUAAGUUGAAGCGCUUUCUGUACAACAUGCGGCUUGUGUUACAUAAGUUUAUUAAACCUUUUGUAGACGAGCACUACCGCAGGUCUGAGGAGGACACAGUGGACGACUUUAUUGGCGCCUACAUCAGAGAAAUACAUCAUCAUCGCAACAGUCAGUCAGGAUCACCUCACAUCAACGAUCCUAAUCUCCUGAAGUUAGUCUUCGACAUCUUUGCUGCUGGCACGGAGUCGACCUCUACAGCUAUCCUGUGGGCCCUGGUUUACUUCCUUCACCACCCUGACGUGCAGGACAAGUGCUACGAGGAGAUCCACAGAGUUGUCGGCACAGAGCGAGCGCCCACCAUACAGGAUAGACCGCAGUUAGUUUACAUGGAGGCUGUCAUCACGGAGGUUCUUCGCUGCGCCAACAUUACUCCACUAGGUUUGCCGCAUGCCACCCCAUGUGACGUGGAGUUUGGCGGAUACACGAUCCCUAAGGGCACUUUAGUCAUCCCCAACCUGGAUUCUGUAAUGAGAGAUCCGGAGACCUGGGGUGACCCUGACAGAUUCCGACCUGAACGUUUCAUUGGAGAGGACGGCAAACUGUGGAGACAAGAAGAGUUCAUUCCCUUCUCUAUGGGUCGGCGCGUCUGCUUGGGUGAAACGAUUGCUCGAAUGGAAUUACUUCUUUACGUUUCAACAAUGGUGCAACACUUCCGAUUCCUACCUUCGGAAACUGGAGAGCUGCCAUCCUUGCAAGGCAUGCUUGGCAUUACACAUUCCCCUAAACAUUUCAAAGUUCGAUCAGUGCCUAGGAUGUGUCUGAAAAAGGAAACAUCGGAAUGAAGUCAGCAAUGGAGAGGAUGGGAGCGUCUGAGGGCAGUGGACAUUGCUGCAGUAAAUCAGCGCGGGACAGUCUCAGCGAUUUUUUACUAGUACUUUUUAUUUCACACUUAGCAAACGCAGAUUGUUGACCAAGGAAGGCCCAUCAAACGGCUUUCGAAGUGAAUGAAUGGUCAAAUGUUGUCAGGGUCCAACAUGAUCUGUGUAGGGCAUACUAAAAGCGAAUUUUAAACAUUUUGUGGGCCAAUAUUUUGUCAGAUUUUAUUUUACUAUACGAUUGCACUCAUCAGUUUUUUUUCUCAGUAGAAACCGAGUUAUAGACUUGUGAUUAUCGUACUACACAACAAGGAAUACUGCAACCGUCAUCGUCAUUAGAAGCAUCAGCCUCGUUAAGACUGGUACUGCAUGAGUCUGUCUCAGACUGCUUGUACUACAGCAAAACACUUCCGUAGGGGAAGCUGUGUUGUCACUUGCCCUCUUACCUCUGCGUUGUUAGCUUCUUUUUCUUUCAUCCAAUCUUGUCUUGGUUUUUUCUUUUUUAUAAUUGUUGUCACAUUUCUUUUUAUUGUACCAAUUCGCAUUUUUGCACUCUCACUUGUGUCACUUUUAUGUCUCUGUAAAAUUUGCAUGCACCAUGGUCCUGACACUGACAGACGACAAUGUCACAGUCGAUGUGGAGUUUCCAUGAAAUGUUUACAGUCUCCUUGUCUUGCUUUGAUGCUUGUGCUGCUUCAUCCAUUAAUCGGGACACUGUGAGCUUGGCGCUCUUGAGUGGCUGUGACAGAACUCCACCAACAGUUCUACAGGUGUGUAUAACGAUUCUACAGGUGUGUCCGUGUCUGAGAAACUUCGAGAACAGUCUAGGCUGACCUUACUAAUAACGUCACGAUUUCUAAUCUUGUUUUCAUAGCUACGUCUUCACACCGACAGCUGACGUCGCUCGCUAGUUGUUCCUGCGUGUGACGUCAUUUAUUGUUAAUGUCGUGGCUAAUGCGCUAAGCUGAAACGUCAUUCUAUAAUAUCACGUCAUCAACAAAUUUUAAAAAUAUCGAUCAUGAAGACAAUAAUGAUUUUUAAGGAAAAACAUUUAAAUGGCAGACCAACACUCUGACUGAAUGACAUUUCUGGAGGAAAUAGAGAGGUGUCCUGCUCAUCACACAGUAAAAUCUUUUUCCUCUUUGAAAUCGGGAUAGUGAAUUGUACAAAGCCUCCAAUGUGCGUCAAAAUCGCUGACAUGAUGUAUACCCUAAUGAAUAUAUAUGUGCGUGUGUGUGACAAAUUAUUUCCUUGUGACAAAGUUAUUGGAGAAAUGAGUAAAGCUUCUUAAAAACCCAAUCAAUGUCAACACGUUUAAAGAGUCCAACACGAUGUGUGUAGGGUACACUUAAAGAUAUUUUUUAACAGUUUGUGGGCCAAUAUUUUUUAUUUCAAUCUAUUACACUAUUUUGAUCAUUUUUUCUACAGAAAAUGUUUACAUAUAUCUUCUAUACAUUGCUUACUAUUCCGCUAUUGCUUUUUUUGGUAUUAAAAUAUUCUAAUGAAAUGUUCGUCCACCAAUAAGACUUAAACGUCUGUAAUCCGUUGGUCAGUUUUAAUUAGAGUAGGUUAAUUUUCAUGGUUCAAUUUUAAUGACUAUACACCAUUGAUUUUUUUGUUUAUCUGCUUACAAGACAGUGUAAACCGUGAUGAACUAUGAAUAAUGCAACAUGAAGUUUGUGUUGAGGGUUGACAAUGGUCACAUUCUCUACCCACACCAUGGAGAUGUUUUCCUUAUUAUUUAGUUAGAUACAACUUAUGUCGGUAAAAUACUGUGAGUUGAUCAUCAUGUUGACUUAGUUUCAAGCUGGUGUGUACAAAUAUAGUGCAGUUAUAGUUUUAAUGGAUAAAGACAUGUGCAUGGAAUUACUUUUUCCUGUGUAAUAUUUUUAUGAUUUCUGGAUAAAUGCUCGACAUAUUUUUUUUUUUUUGCUAUUUGACUAAUACAUUUAUUCCUCAGGAAA